rnacentral:ncRNA from 1 species
GAAAAAGCAAUGACAGGAUUAAGUAGAUGUGUUAAAUAUUUCUUAGAGAGUGGGGUAUGGUGGAAACCCAUAAAUAUACAUUUCGAAACUCACCCUGUAGCUGCAGGCUGAACUAAUAGUAAGCUAUGCCGGUGAAAGCCGUUAUUUUAAUGAAGUAAGAAAUUUGGGUGGUACCGCGACAGACCUUUCGCCCCAUGA